CUCCCUCCUACCUGGCACUGUGCAUUUCAUGUGAGUUAUAAUAGUCCGUAGUUUAACAUGUGAAAGUGUAAAAUCAUGAAUAAAUGAGCUUCAUAGAGCCUUUUGAUCACAUACAUGUGAGUAUCUCAAAGCAGACAAAAAAUAUUUACUAGCAUGUUGUUUACAUCUGCAAGUUGUGAAAUAAAUUAAAAUUAGUUAACAGUAGUUUUCAAAAUACAGUAGUAGACUCAAUAAUUUUACUACUUUUAUGUGUGUUGUAUUGUUUUUUAAUUUUAAUUUAUUGUCGUCACAGAAUUAAUUUGUAACAACAAUACUGUGGCACUAGAAAAUAAAAUUAAGUGUUCUGUUAAAAUAUGGGUUUUUAAUUACUAAGCUUGUUACAAUAACAAUGCACUAUACACUGCUGCAUUGUAAAUCUACUUUUUAAAACAAAACUUGUUUGCAACUUGGUUUAUCCUAAGUAGAAAAGGUUUUUUUAUAUAAACCAGUGUGACCAGGAUAGCACCAACUUGCAGUCUAUUCCGUCCAAUGGCAUAUCCAGGGAAAGGGCCAUGGUCCCCUUCAAGAUUUUGAAAAAGACUUUUUUAAGAAAAAAAAACUUAUUGCUUUUAUAUUCUAACCAUACAAAAUUAACUCAUCUGUAUAAACUAAACUUUCCAAAUGAAUUGAUUUCUUUCUAACAUUUUAUAUUUUGUUGUAUUGAAAACCAAAACUACCUGUCACAGUAAUGAUAGUGGUAAACUAACACUCAUGUGGCUCUUUCCAAAAAUAAAGGCUGAAUCUGCCCUUGACUCAACCCCUUUAUAGCUCGAACCUUGAUCUGAAGAGUCCCUUGAUAACAAGAUUGUUCCCCAAGUACACUUAAAAUGUUUUCCUAAUCCGCUUAAAAUGUUUUCCAAAUCCACUUUAAAUGUUUCUCGAAUCCACUUAAGACUCUUGCUAUCGAGGUUUUGCUAAAAUGUACAUUUUAAAGUAAAUUAAUUCAAUGUUUAUAUUAUUUUUAUACUCUUUAUUUUUUGUUCCAAAUUUACAAUGAGGUAUUUAUAAAAAAAUGAUAAUAGGUUUGUAGCCUAAGAACAGAUAAAACUUACUAAAUAGUAUGUUAAAGAUUUGUAAACAAAACUCUACUCUUGUACAGUGUCUAUCAAUGA